rnacentral:tRNA from 1 species
UGGGGCAUCGUUCAACGGUAGGACAGCGGUUUUUGGUACCGCGAAUGAGGGUUCGAUUCCUUCUGCCCCAGCCA